rnacentral:rRNA from 1 species
CCUACGGGAGGCAGCAGUGGGGAAUAUUGCACAAUGGGGGAAACCCUGAUGCAGCGACGCCGCGUGAGUGAAGAAGUAUUUCGGUAUGUAAAGCUCUAUCAGCAGGGAAGAAAAUGACGGUACCUGAUUAAGAAGCCCCGGCUAACUACGUGCCAGCAGCCGCGGUAAUACGUAGGGGGCAAGCGUUAUCCGGAUUUACUGGGUGUAAAGGGAGCGUAGACGGUGAUGCAAGUCAGAAGUGAAGCCCGGGGCUUAACCCCGGAACUGCGUUGGAAACUGUGCGGCUGGAGUGCAGGAGGGGUAAGCGGAAUUCCUAGUGUAGCGGUGAAAUGCGUAGAUAUUAGGAGGAACACCGGUGGCGAAGGCGGCUUACUGGACUGUAACUGACGUUGAGGCUCGAAAGCGUGGGGAGCAAACAGGAUUAGAUACCCGAGUAGUC